rnacentral:rRNA from 2 species
CGCCUCUUGCAAAAUCAAUAAAUAAGAGGUCCCGCCUGCCCUGUGACUAUAUGUUUAACGGCCGCGGUAUUUUGACCGUGCGAAGGUAGCGCAAUCACUUGUCUUUUAAAUGGAGACCUGUAUGAAUGGCAUAACGAGGGUCUAACUGUCUCCUUUUUCAAGUCAAUGAAAUUGAUCUUCCCGUGCAGAAGCGGGAAUAACCUCAUAAGACGAGAAGACCCUAUGGAGCUUUAGACAAAAAGCAGGCCAUGUUAAGCACCCUUAAAUAAAAGACCAAACUCGAUGUUUACUGCCCUAAUGUCUUUGGUUGGGGUGACCGCGGCGAAACAAAUAACCCCCGUGUAGAAAGAGGACUCCCUCCUUCAAACCAAGAGUUCCCACUCAAAUAAACAGAAUAUCUGACUAAACAGGAUCCGGCAAUGCCGAUCAACGGACCGAGUUACCCUAGGGAUAACAGCGCAAUCCCCUUCUAGAGCCCAUAUCGACAAGGGGGUUUACGACCUCGAUGUUGGAUCAGGACAUCCUAAUGGUGCAGCCGCUAUUAAGGGUUCGUUUGUUCAACGAUCAAAGUCCU